CAGGAUGUGCAUGUCCCGCAGGGGAGGGAACGGAGCACAGACAGGUGGCAUCAUGCUGAGCGGUUGGGUGCGAUCCACAGACUCACACCUGUAGGGGAGGCGACACAUCACCUCUGUCCUCUUAGGGUCUCCUGGCAGGCCUGAGAAUUACGUUCACAGAAGACCGGCGACCAGGAGGAAAUAGUUCCGAACGUCUGGAUUCAUUUAAUAGUAAAUAAUGGCAUCACCUCCACCUGGAUGCUGGAGAAUUAAGUGAAUCGACGUGUACAAGCACUCUUUGCAGGGCCCACACAUGGUACGUGCUCGGCGAAUGUUAGCUGUUUCUCUGCUCAAAAUUCUGCAGAUGUUUGUGCUAUGAAUGAAGAAAGAAA